GGCCUAACACAUGCAAGUCGAGGGGCAGCACAAGGAGCAAUCUGAGGUGGCGACCGGCGCACGGGUGAGUAACACGUAUGGCAACCUGCCUGUAAGCGGGGAAUAACCCGUUGAAAGACGGACUAAUACCGCAUAAUACUAAAUUACUGCAUGGUAAUUUAUUUAAACAUUUAUGGCUUACAGAUGGGCAUGCGCAUGAUUAGCUAGUUGGAGAGGUAACGGCUCCCCAAGGCAACGAUCAUUAGGGGUUCUGAGAGGAAGGUCCCCCACACUGGUACUGAGACACGGACCAGACUCCUACGGGAGGCAGCAGUGAGGAAUAUUGGUCAAUGGACGAGAGUCUGAACCAGCCAAGUCGCGUGCAGGAAGAAUGUUCCCUAUGGAUUGUAAACUGCUUUUGCAGGGGAAUAAAGUGCAUCACGUGUGAUGUUUUGUAUGUACUCUGCGAAUAAGGAUCGGCCAACUCCGUGCCAGCCGCCGC
rnacentral:rRNA from 1 species